GGCUUAGAAGCAGCCAUGCAUUCAAAGAGUGCGUAACAGCUCACUGGUCGAGUGGACAUGCGCCGACAAUACACGGGGCUAAGCUGGACACCGAAGCGGCGGGAUUUUAAUUCAUUAGAAUCGGUAGGGGAGCUUCCCAUGGGCGGAGAAGCCGGAGGGCGACCGACGGUGGAGCGCAUGGGAGUGAGAAUGCUGGCAUGAGUAGCGAGAGACGAGAGAGUAACUCGUCCGCCGUGAACCCGAGGUUUCCUGGGCAAGGCUAAUCCUCCCAGGGUCAGUCGGGGGCUAAGGCGAGGCCGGUAGGCGUAGCCGACGCGCAGCAGGCAGACAUUCCUGCACCGCGCACGCGGCGCUACGACCGACGGGGCGACGGAUGGGGGUGGCUCGGCGGGGUUCUGGACGUCCCCGUGAUGGAGCGCGGCCCGCGGACCAGGGAAAUCCGGUCCGCAUGAAGGGCGAGGCUCCGGACGAAGCGAUUGAGCGAAGCGAGUGAGCCCGAGGUCCCUAGAAAAACCCCUAGGCAGGCGCGUGCGCGCCCGUACCGCAAACCGACACAGGUGGGUGGGUAGAACAUACCGAGGCGAUCGGGUCAACCAUGGUCAAGGAACUCGGCACAAUGGCCCCGUAACUUCGGGAGAAGGGGUGCCCGCGCGUACGUGAACCGGCUCGCCCGGGGAGCGGAGGCGGGCCGCAGUGGAGAGGCCCAAGCGACUGUUUACCAAAAACACAGGACUCUGCAGAAGCCGCAAGGCGACGUAUAGGGUCUGACGCCUGCCCGGUGCCGGAAGGUCACGCGGAGGAGUUAGCCGAUUCGGCGAAGCCCCGAAGCCAAGCCCCGGUAAACGGCGGCCGUAACUAUAACGGUCCUAAGGUAGCGAAAUUCCUUGUCGGGUAAGUUCCGACCUGCACGAAAGGCGCAACGACUUGGGCGCUGUCUCGACCAUGGACCCGGUGAAAUUGCACUGGUCGUGAAGAUGCGACUUACCCGCGGAAGGACGGAAAGACCCCGUGAACCUUCACUGCAGCUUGGCAUUGGCCGCUGGUCCCGCGUGUAGAGGAUAGGCAGGAGGCAUCGAUCCGGAGGCGCCAGCCCCCGGGGAGCCGCCCUUGGAAUACUGCCCUCGCGCGACCGGCGUCCUAACCCGAGGCCGUCAACCGGCUCGGGGACCGUGCCAGGCGGGCAGUUUGACUGGGGCGGUCGCCUCCUAAAGGGUAACGGAGGCGCGCGAAGGUCCGCUCGGGACGGUCGGCAACCGUCCUUUUGAAUGCAAGAGUACAAGCGGGCUUGACUGCGAGGCCCACAAGCCGAGCAGGUGCGAAAGCAGGCUCUAGUGAUCCGGCGGCCCCGAGUGGGUGGGCCGUCGCUCAACGGAUAAAAGGUACUCCGGGGAUAACAGGCUGAUCUUGCCCAAGAGUCCACAUCGACGGCAAGGUUUGGCACCUCGAUGUCGGCUCAUCGCAUCCUGGGGCUGGAGCAGGUCCCAAGGGUACGGCUGUUCGCCGUUUAAAGCGGUACGCGAGCUGGGUUCAGAACGUCGUGAGACAGUUCGGUCCCUAUCCUCCGUGGGCGCAGGAGAAUCGAUGGAGGCUGCCCCCAGUACGAGAGGACCGGGGUGGACGCACCUCCGGUGAACCGGUUGUCGACCAACGGCACGGCCGGGUAGCCGCGUGCGGCGCGGAUAACCGCUGAAGGCAUCUAAGCGGGAAGCCGUUCCAGGGAUUAGUUCUCCUUCCGGUAAGGGCCCAGGUAGACUACCUGGUCGAUAGACGGCAGGUGCAAGGCUGGCGACAGCCUCAGCCGAGCCGCACUAAUCGCCCGAGCUCUUCCGGA
rnacentral:rRNA from 1 species